rnacentral:lncRNA from 1 species
CUUAUUCUGGCCAAAUUUUGGCUAGAUGCCGGCCAAAUUUUGACCAAACCAUAUAAAUUCCUUCCGAUUACUUAAAAAAUGGGUUAAUGAGGGAUUAAAACAUGUCUAAUUCAAAAAACUACAUAUAAAAAUGUGUGUGUGUAUAUGUAACUAAAAAUUGCAUAUAAAAAUCUCAAUCCGAUUAAUUUCGAUUAAUUGCUAUUAAUCCCGAUUAAUCGCUAGUCGGUACCCCGCCGCCCGACUAGCGCCUAGCGAUUCUUACAACACUGGUAGUUAUUAUUCUCUUUUUAAUCACUACAAUCAUGAUAUAUGUGAUUCGAGCAAUUACAUUCGAUCCCCUAUAUAUAUGUGAGUGAGUUCUCUAUACUAUAAGGAGUGGUUGUGAGUGAAGAUAGGAAUGACAAUGGGCCAGGUAUUGGUAAUCCCAAGCCCGUACCCGAUUGUAAUUCUUUGGCUCAUACCCGUCCUGUUACCUGUCAGAUAAUUACCUGAUCAGGUAUACCCAUUAAUUUGUUAAAAAUACCAUUGAGACUCCUAUGUGCAUUUUUUACUCCCAUGUUUAUUUAAUUUACUAUUUUUACUAUGAUUUUAUUUAUAUAUCAUAUUCAAAUGCACAUUUGAAACAUAUAUCUACAUAAUUAACUAAUUUAGGUACUACAACUUUGAAACACAUAAUGUCAGUUUAUGUAUUUUGCAUUUAAUCAAACACUAGACAUGAAAAAUAGUAGCAUUAACGGGACACAAGUAAUCUCCCUAACAACUUGAAAUAUAUUUAGAAAAUUCCAAAACUAAUACACAUUUUUAAUCUGCAUAGAACCGACAUAACUAAACAUAAAAUCUUGUAUGUGUAUAUUAAAGUCUUGAAGACAAACAACAAAGUAAAAUCUAUGAAUAAUGAAUAAGUUUAUGUACUAUAGUUUAUAUAAAUGGAAAAUUAAAUUUAAAUUAAUAUACUUUUUGGGAAUUAUUCGGGUAAACGGGCCGGGUAUCACUAAAUCUCAUAACCGUACCUGAAUUAUUUAAUAGUUUUAAUCACAUACCCGGUUUAUACCCGUCGGGCUUCGGGUAUACCCAGCCCAUAUGUUUUGGGUUUCAGGUUACCCGUGGGGUUUGGGCUUUUUUGCCAUCCCUGGUGAAGGAGAGAAAAAAUGUUACAUUUUCAUCAGCAAAUUUGGUAAGAUAUUGUUCACCCUUCUAUAAUUUUUUUAAUAUUUUUUUAAAGUGGUCGUAAGUGGAGGAGAGGGAAAAGAUAACGAUAAAAAUAUAAAAAAAUAUUAUUUAAUUAAAAAUGAUAGAGAAAAGAUAACGAUUUUUAGUGUUAUUAUAAAGAUGGAGAUGAAGAAUCAAUUGUGAAUGCUCUAACAUAUAUAAAUUUGUAACUACAAAUUUACUUAUAUCAUAUAUAUUUCUAUUGUAUGUUUAAAAUUGCUUAUCUAGAUUUACCUAUUUCUCUCACGGUUACCAAUUAGUUGUUUAUUACAGUAAGGGUCCUAUCGGUAAUGAUGGUGAUCGCAUUGUUUAUGCACAUAUCUUAUCGAGAAAUAAUAUUUUAAUGAAAGUCAAGAACAUUUGCUAUGUAAGGUUGGUUUGUUUCUAAAAGAACCGGUUUUUACGCAUGGCCAUAUGUGGCAUUGUCCAAACUAAAAAGUAUAGAUGACCUUAAGCUAUUGAUACCUGAUGAGGAUGAUCAAAUUACAAAUAAAACUACAAAUGUCGUGUAUAAAGAAGUGUUUAGAGAUUUGCAAAUGUAAUGUAUAUCUUGAUUUUAUAUUGUUCGAUUUAAUAAGAAUAAUUCAUAUAUGUAAAUUGGUUUACACAUUAUAGAAGUUACAUUAAUUUUAUCUUCAUACACGUGUAAUACGUGAGUCUAUAAACUUGUUUUAUUAUAUAAUUAAAACCCAAGAUAUAUAAAAGUAUCCAUAUUUCAAAGCUGUUUUUAAGAGAAAAAAAAAUCAUUAUCAAUUCCUUAUUAUAAGUUAAUUACCUAACUUUUUAAUCGUAAAAUCACUACUUUUAAUGUUCUUUUAUUAUUAUGAAUAUUUUUUGAUUGGUUAAAACAUAGCAUCACUAUGCACUUUUUGGCAUGGACAAAUUCUAUACGUGUUUACGAACAAUUUUUCUCUAUUUAACUUUAUUACUAAUAACACACAAAGUAUACAAACAUAUCAAUACUAAUUAAUUAGAAUUCCUUUAAAGCAUUUUAUUUACUUAAUUUUAAAUAAUAAUGAAACAAUAUUAAAUUCGAAUGACCGAUUUGCAUAGUUGAUAAAAAAACUUUUAGUUCAUGAAAUAUUACUGCAAGUUGAGUAGAAUUUAAUGAUUUCAAACUUCUUUUUUUUUUUAACUGUGACUUUCUUUUUUAGUGACCAACGUCAUACUGUCUAAACGGCGGCCCUAGCCAUGAUCUCUCCAGACUACGUUGUCUUAACCGGUUACGCGCUGGGUUGGUCAGACUUGGUUACAGCGUUCCCCCGGAAACCGUACUGCCUCCACACAAAAUGUCUCGCUGAAGUAACAGCCGGAUGAAAACCGAGGUGCGGCUCAGGAUCGAACCCCCCUCGGUGAGUUUAUCACCAUCGUUGCCCAAUAUCCACAUUUUCAAACUUUCUUUUUAAACUACAUCUGGACUAAAAAUAUUAUUAAAGUAAAAAAUAAUAAACAUGCAAGUUUUUAAUAUUUAUUAAUUUAGGUAAAUUCUAGAGAUGUGAUGAAAAAAUAGUUAAAACACUAGCGUGGCCGGUGGCACAUGCAAGUAGAAAAAGAACUUGGCCGUUCUUCAGUUAUCCAAGGCAUGACGCGUAAGCGAAUGUUGUUUAAUGAUUAAUUAAAUCAAGUCAAUAAAACGUCUAAAGAGUUUUAUAUUGAUAUUAAUUUUAAGGAGGGGGUGUCUACUGGAUGAUUUUGUUGGAACUAAAAAAAUACGUUAUAUAUUUACUAAAUGCAAAGCCUUUUACAAGUUACAACACAACAUUUAAGUUUGAAAGACUUUAGUUCUACUCACACAAAAAUAAAGAAAUGCGUCGUCCUAAAAUAUAUAUAAUUCAAUUUUGACAAAUAGUUCACACAUACCAAAUUAUAUGAAAUCAUAUUAGACGGUAUGGUUUGGUUUUUGUAUCAUAAAAAGUUAUAUUUGAAAGUUGAAAAUGACCCUUUCAAUCUGUGUUUCUAUGAAUCUUGA